GGGGAUGUAAAGGCUUCGACGGGGAGAGGAAAACGAGAGCAGCGGGUAGUGUUGGGAACACACUUAAAACGUCUCAAAACAAAUAGCUAACAACAAUAAAUUAGCUGUAGCAGCCUAAGGGCUGCUCGUUCUGCCCACCUUAGUGCCGGGUGGGGUCAGGGCGUCGAUUAGACACUGAACGUGAACGACAUCAAGCUUUGUUUGCCGUCAUGAACUGAUGAAGCUACCAAUCAAGCGGCAGGAUUGUCGGCCUGCUUGAAAGGGAAUGUUGCAGACAAUCUGCACCCGGAGAUACUAUCGCGGCCCUUUUUUCGGACACGGGUUCAACUCCCGUCAUCUCCACCA
rnacentral:tmRNA from 2 species